AACCUGCCCAAGAGAUCGGGAUAACACCUGGAAACAGAUGCUAAUACCGGAUAANAACAGAUGAUGCCUAUCAACUGUUUAAAAGAUGGUUCUGCUAUCACUCUUGGAUGGACCUGCGGUGCAUUAGCUAGUUGGUAGGGUAACGGCCUACCAAGGCGAUGAUGCAUAGCCGAGUUGAGAGACUGAUCGGCCACAUUGGGACUGAGACACGGCCCAAACUCCUACGGGAGGCAGCAGUU
rnacentral:rRNA from 1 species